AACGAACGCUGGCGGCAGGCCUAACACAUGCAAGUCGAGCGAGGACUUCGGUCCUAGCGGCGGACGGGUGAGUAACGCGUGGGAACGUGCCCUUUGCUUCGGAAUAGCCCUGGGAAACUGGGAGUAAUACCGGAUGAGCCCUUUGGGGGAAAGAUUUAUCGGCGAAGGAUCGGCCCGCGUUGGAUUAGGUAGUUGGUGGGGUAAUGGCCUACCAAGCCGACGAUCCAUAGCUGGUUUGAGAGGAUGAUCAGCCACACUGGGACUGAGACACGGCCCAGACUCCUACGGGAGGCAGCAGUGGGGAAUCUGCGACAAUGGGGGAAACCCUGAUCUAGCCAUGCCGCGUGAGCGAUGAAGGCCUUAGGGUUGUAAAGCUCUUUCAGCUGGGAAGAUAAGGACGGUACCAGCAGAAGAAGCCCCGGCUAACUCCGU
rnacentral:rRNA from 1 species